UCUGCGCGUUCAGAAAGCUGGAUUUCGGGGAUGCUCAGUUCAGAAGAGAAAUUUGCUGGGAAUCAAGUCCUUCUUUUUGUUAGUCGGUAGUCGAUGAUGGGAGGUGUUCAAAAUCAUUUGAUGUGGUGACAAGGAAAUCUCACAUUCAGAGGAUACCUCAUCAGCAUCAUCUGCUCAGAUGUCCUCUUGCUCAGCACUUGCAACAUUAGUGAAAUAACACAUUGGAUCUUGCUCUGUCACCCAGGCUGGAGUACAGCUGCACCAUCACUGCUCACUGUAGCC